rnacentral:snRNA from 1 species
CCGCUCACUUUGGCAGCACAUAUGCUAAAAUUGGAACGAUAUAGAGAAGACCAGCAUGGCCCUUAUGCAAGGAUGAUGCGCAAAUUUGAGAAGCAUUCCAUAUAAAA